UACGGAGGGUGCAAACGUUGCUCGGAAUCAUUGGGCGUAAAGCGCACGUAGGCGGCUCGUUUAAGUCGGAUGUGAAAGCCCUGGGCUCAACCCAGGAAGUGCAUACGAAACUGGCGAGCUUGAGUAUGGAAGAGGGUCGCGGAAUUCCCGGUGUAGAGGUGAAAUUCGUAGAUAUCGGGAGGAACACCAGUGGCGAAGGCGGCGACC
rnacentral:rRNA from 1 species